rnacentral:rRNA from 1 species
GAUGAACGCUGGCGGCGUGCCUAAUACAUGCAAGUCGAGCGAACGGACGAGAAGCUUGCUUUUCUGAUGUUAGCGGCGGACGGGUGAGUAACACGUGGAUAACCUACCUAUAAGACUGGGAUAACUUCGGGAAACCGGAGCUAAUACCGGAUAAUAUUUUGAACCGCAUGGUUCAAACGUGAAAGACGGUCUUUCUGUCACUUAUAGAUGGAUCCGCGCUGCAUUAGCUAGUUGGUAAGGUAACGGCUUACCAAGGCAACGAUGCAUAGCCGACCUGAGAGGGUGAUCGGCCACACUGGAACUGAGACACGGUCCAGACUCCUACGGGAGGCAGCAGUAGGGAAUCUUCCGCAAUGGGCGAAAGCCUGACGGAGCAACGCCGCGUGAGUGAUGAAGGUCUUCGGAUCGUAAAACUCUGUUAUUAGGGAAGAACAUAUGUGUAAGUAACUGUGCACAUCUUGACGGUACCUAAUCAGAAAGCCACGGCUAACUACGUG